rnacentral:rRNA from 1 species
GACGAACGCUGGCGGCGUGCUUAACACAUGCAAGUCGAACGGGACCAGUAGCAAUAUUGGUUUAGUGGCGAACGGGUGAGUAACACGUGACUAAUCUGUCCCGGACUGGGGAAUAACGUCGGGAAACUGACGCUAAUGCCACAUAUUGAGCAUGGGUUGCAUGACCUGCGCUUGAAAGAUUUAUCGGUCCGGGAUGAGGUCGCGCCCCAUUAGCUUGUUGGCGGGGUAACGGCCCACCAAGGCAACGAUGGGUAGCUGGUCUGAGAGGAUGAUCAGCCACACUGGGACUGAGAUACGGCCCAGACUCCUACGGGAGGCUG